CAGCCGCCGCGGUAAUACGUAGGUGGCAAGCGUUGUCCGGAAUUAUUGGGCGUAAGGGGCUCGCAGGCGGUUUCUUAAGUCUGACGUGAAAGCCCCCGGCUCAACCGGGGAGGGUCAUUGGAAACUGGGAAACUUGAGUGCAGAAGAGGAGAGUGGAAUUCCACGUGUAGCGGUGAAAUGCGUAGAGAUGUGGAGGAACACCAGAGGCGAAGGCGACUCUCUGGUCUGUAACUGACGCUGAGGAGCGAAAGCGUGGGGAGCGGACAGGAUUAGAUACCCCCGUAGUCCCUGUCUCUUAUAC
rnacentral:rRNA from 1 species